rnacentral:rRNA from 1 species
GACGAACGCUGGCGGCGUGCUUAACACAUGCAAGUCGAACGGAAAGGCCCUGCUUUUGUGGGGUGCUCGAGUGGCGAACGGGUGAGUAACACGUGAGUAACCUGCCCUUGACUUUGGGAUAACUUCAGGAAACUGGGGCUAAUACCGGAUAGGAGCUCCUGCUGCAUGGUGGGGGUUGGAAAGUUUCGGCGGUUGGGGAUGGAAUCGCGGCUUAUCCGCUUGUUGGUGGGGUAGUGGCUUACCAAGGGUUUGACGGGUAGCCGGCCUGGGAGGGUGACCGGCCACAUUGGGACUGAGAUAGGGCCCAGACUCCUACGGGAGGCAGCAGGGGGGAAUAUUGCAGAAUGGGCGGAAGUCUGAGGCAGCAACGCCGCGUGCGGGAUGACGGCCUUCGGGUGGUAAACCGCUUUCGACUGUGACGAAGCGGGAGUGACGGUAAUGGGUAAAGAAGCACCGGCUAACUACGUG